rnacentral:miRNA from 12 species
UGACCAAGACCUACAGAUUCU